CCUACGGGAGGCAGCAGUGGGGAAUAUUGGGCAAUGGGCGCAAGCCUGACCCAGCAACGCCGCGUGAAGGAAGAAGGCUUUCGGGUUGUAAACUUCUUUUCUCAGGGACGAAGCAAGUGACGGUACCUGAGGAAUAAGCCACGGCUAACUACGUGCCAGCAGCCGCGGUAAUACGUAGGUGGCAAGCGUUAUCCGGAUUUACUGGGUGUAAAGGGCGUGUAGGCGGGAAAGCAAGUCAGAUGUGAAAACCAUGGGCUCAACCUGUGGCCUGCAUUUGAGACUGUUUUUCUUGAGUACUGGAGAGGCAGACGGAAUUCCUAGUGUAGCGGUGAAAUGCGUAGAGAUUAGGAGGAACACCAGUGGCGAAGGCGGUCUGCUGGACAGCAACUGACGCUGAGGCGCGAAAGCGUGGGGAGCAAACAGGAUUAGAUACCCGUGUAGUC
rnacentral:rRNA from 1 species